GGCGGUUCUCAGGUGAUGCAUACUAGUAUCGGGCUCCUUCCUCUCUGGUUCCGGAUGCAUCACCCAAGAACCACA
rfam:Myotis davidii contig120406, whole genome shotgun sequence.